UGCCUGAAUUUGAGGAUGUUGAAAAUAUUGGAAAUUAGUGAAAAUAAGGAAGAGGAAGAUGUGAUGCAAGAAAUUGAUAGUGGAAAGCAAAAGGGAACAAUUCAAGGUAGUGGUACUAGUGCUUCAAAAAAAACCAAAAGUUUCAAAACCACAAAGCAGUAAAGGACCUAUUCAUACUUAUUGUUCACUUAAACCGACCGUUAUGGGAAAAAGUAUGAGGCAAACUACUAUUAAUGAAAA
rnacentral:misc_RNA from 1 species